GGGGCCGCCAUGGUUUCGACGUAAUUCAAGAAGGAGAGCAGGGCAUGCCGAGGUCCGAUUACCUCGUUAAUACACUCGGAAAAAAAUAAACGCCAACGACGAGCGUUUCGCACUCGCAGCUUAAAUUGCACGCGAGCGCUGCACUAGCACUCUGAUGGGCUAGGUGAUUUACAUCACAGCAGUGUCAUUUACAUCAGAUCGAUGUUUAUGAGUUCGUGGCAUUAACAUCUAAAUUUUAGCGAAUCGUCGCAGACAAGUUCGUUUAACUACUUAACCUGCGAUUAAAACAUAAUGUUAAACUAAGCAUGUAGAUCUGUCUUUGGAAGUGUUGCGGACGCGGGUUCGAUUCCCGCCGGCUCCACCA
rnacentral:tmRNA from 1 species